CCCCCCCCCUCCUUUCACGAAAAAUUCUAGAAUGCAUCGGGUAUAUUGAUGACGUGGCGUAACAAACAAAUCAAAAAAUUCUUUUUAGAAAUAUAUGUCCCAUCAUGAUUAUAAAAAAAUAUUUUUAUUGUACUUUUGUUUGAAAAGAAGAAAAAUGAUUGACUUGUUAUUGAUGAUGUGGUGCAAAUGUAAUAAUGUAGAAUUCCUCCUACUUUCACCCAAAAACGUCGCCACCA
rnacentral:lncRNA from 1 species